rnacentral:lncRNA from 1 species
CCCUCGUCUUCUCAGGACUCCGCGGGAGCCGUUAAGUACCUCAGUCUCCUCGGGAAGUGGAGGGCGCGCCCGGGGUGAGAGUGACGGGGAGCGCUGGGGGCGGGAGUUCUCGGGUCCCCGCCGUCCCCAGCGCCGUGUGUGCGCCCGGGCGGGACCUCGGCGGGGGGCGGCCGGUGGGGGACCUCGGGCUCCCGGGGCGCAGGUGCGGCGGAGCCAGUCAGGAGCGGGGACCGUGUGCCCGGCUCUCCUGAAGCCCGACCCCAGAAAAGCCCACGUCGGCGGCGGGAGGCCGGUUAAAACGCGGACGGGGCCCGAGUCUGCGGGGCAGCCGAGCUCCGGAGCCCGAAAGGCCCGGUCAGUCCCGGCUCUGUCACCUGUGAGCAGGGGCGACAGAAGGGCCUGGGUCAGCGUGCUCAUGUGGACGUGAGAUUGAUAGCGCCGUCUUACGGCGUCGUUUUGAGCCUUAGGUCCGAGUCAUCGUUGUACAGUAUUUAGAUGAGGGCCGGGUAGGAAGCCCUGCGUAAGGGACAGCUGCUGCCGUAGUUGGAAGUCAGUUUGUUGGUGUCGCUGGAUGGCCUGAUGUGCUCUCACGACCGCUUCCCCAGCGCCCAGGCUCAGAUCCAUGUCCCAGUUUCCUUGAACAAAGCAACCCUUGUGAGGCAGGAAGCAGGGGCCUCUGUGCAGGAGUCUUACCUGGAGGAGAGCACCCCUCUGACCUUAGACCUCUCUCCAGAGCUUCAGAGCGGAGACAGAAGAGCCCAG